rnacentral:rRNA from 1 species
AUUGAACGCUGGCGGCAGGCCUAACACAUGCAAGUCGAGCGAGCGGCGGACGGGGGAGUGAUGUCUGGGAAAAUGCCUGAUGGGGGGGGGUAACUACUGGAAACGGUAGAUCAUACCCCAUACCAUCAGGUAUGCCCACAUGGGAUUAGGGGGUGGGUGGGGUAAAGGCUCACCUAGGCGACGAUCCCUCGAUGGUCUGAGAGGAGGACCAGCCACACGGGAACUGAGACACGGUCCAGACUCCUACGGGAGGCAGCAGUGGGGAAUAUUGCACAAUGGGCGCAAGCCUGAUGCAGCCAUGCCGCGUGUGUGAAGAAGGCCUUCGGGUUGUAAAGUACUUUCAGCGGGGAGGCGUUACUCGCAGAAGAAGCACCGGCUAACUCCGUGCCAGCCGCCGCGGUAAUAC